rnacentral:misc_RNA from 1 species
GAUGAAGAACGCAGCGAAAUGCGAUAAGUAAUGUGAAUUGCAGAAUUCAGUGAAUCAUCGAAUCUUUGAACGCACAUUGCGCCCCUUGGUAUUCCGAGGGGCAUGCCUGUUCGAGCGUCAUUAUAACCCCUCAAGCUCAGCUUGGUAUUGGGGCCUGCUGCACUGGCAGCCCUUAAAAUCAGUGGCGGCGCCAUCUGGCUCUAAGCGUAGUAAUUCUUCUCGCUAUGGAGUCCUGGUGGAUGCUUGCCAUCAACCCCCAAUUUUUCUAUGGUUGACCUCGGAUCAGGUAGGGAUACCCGCUGAACUUAAGCAUAUCAAUAAGCGGAGGA